rnacentral:piRNA from 1 species
UAAAUGCCUCAGCAAGUGGAGCAGUAAUCCC